CUGUGCUGACGCAAAUUAUCCUGCCUUUUGAAACUCUUGCCGCAAACCUCGCAGCUGAAAGACAGCUCGGGGCUUUUAUGGGUGCGCUCGUGUAUCAUCAGGUUGUAGGACUUGGUGAACCGACGUUGGCAAUACUUGCAGACGAACUCGCACUUUGGGCGCAGUUUACGCCUAAAAUCCCUGGUGUGAUCCUCGUCGAUUUGCAUCACGGCGAACAUUUUGUCUGAUCUAUGAUGCUCGCUACGGGCGGGGCUUCGGCGCCUGGCUACGGCGCUGGCGAUCGCCUGCCAUCUUUUUCACUCUUU
rnacentral:misc_RNA from 1 species